rnacentral:lncRNA from 1 species
AUGGGCCGCCCAGCAUCCGGAGCUGCCUGUAAAGUUCCUCUCAGCGCCUGCAGAAGCUUUGUAGAGGUGCAGCUGACUGUGAUCAGGGGCUUUAUUUGUCUGUGGAAUCUGGGAGCCAGUGGGAGCCAGUGUGAGAAAGGCGAGGUGUACAAGCCUGCCGUCGGAAGUGUUCCAAUCCAAGUUUCUGGAAUUUCAAGCUGCAUGGCAUUAGCUCUAAAAUCCCUCAUGUGUCAAGAGAGAUUUCACACCGGAACUUGAAACUAGGAAAAGACUGGCAGCUUCUUUUCCCUUGAACUGAUUCGUGGGAGACGAGCGAAACCCAAAAAACCCAUGUUCAGACCUGAUGCUAAGGGGCUGAAUGACGCUGGACAGAACAUAAUACCUUGGGUCCUCAAUUUUGUGAUGAUGGUUAAAUGAGUGAUUCUCAAACCAGUUCUGACAUCUUGAAAAGGUGCUUCUGACUUCACAGUUACCAUGUAAUUAGAGCUUUGAAAUGACAGUGCAGUGAACUCUCCUUGAUAUUCCCCUAAGCCUCUACAUUGAAUGGUGAUGAGGAUCCUAUUUGGAAGCUUUCAAUGGUGUCUUCUCCAGGGGAAAAGGUGAAGAAUAUUUUGUAAGCGACACUGUCUUUUCAAUUUUUACCUCCUGAUUUUGAGCACGGCGAUUCUACUAAGCUGUGUUUUCUUUUCCCUGUGAAAAUGGUUUUGUGAGAAAAUGUAACCAGUGCAAUUAUACUGAACUUUCAUAAGAUGAAACGUUAAUAAAAUGAAUGUUUGACCAAUAAAAUACUUGAUGCUAAAUUAAAUGGGCCUGAAGGGAAUUAUACUUUGGAGCAAACUCCAUGGGAAACAGGAUGAAAA